rnacentral:rRNA from 2 species
AUUGAACGCUGGCGGCAUGCCUUACACAUGCAAGUCGAACGGCAGCACGGGAGCAAUCCUGGUGGCGAGUGGCGAACGGGUGAGUAAUAUAUCGGAACGUGCCCAGUAGUGGGGGAUAACUGCUCGAAAGAGCAGCUAAUACCGCAUACGACCUGAGGGUGAAAGGGGGGGAUCGCAAGACCUCUCGCUAUUGGAGCGGCCGAUAUCAGAUUAGCUAGUUGGUGGGGUAAAGGCCUACCAAGGCAACGAUCUGUAGUUGGUCUGAGAGGACGACCAGCCACACUGGGACUGAGACACGGCCCAGACUCCUACGGGAGGCAGCAGUGGGGAAUUUUGGACAAUGGGCGCAAGCCUGAUCCAGCAAUGCCGCGUGCAGGAAGAAGGCCUUCGGGUUGUAAACUGCUUUUGUCAGGGAAGAAAUCCUCUAGGUUAAUACCCUUGGGGGGAUGACGGUACCUGAAGAAUAAGCACCGGCUAACUACGUG